rnacentral:rRNA from 1 species
AUUGAACGCUGGCGGCAGGCCUAACACAUGCAAGUCGAACGAGUGGCGGACGGGUGAGUAAUUUCUGGGAAACUGCCCGAUGGAGGGGGAUAACUACUGGAAAUGGUAGCUAAUACCGCAUACUAUCGGAUGUGCCCAGGUGGGAUUAGCUAGUAGGUGGGGUAACGGCUCACCUAGGCGACGUUCCCUAGCUGGUCUGGGAGGAUGACCAGCCACACUGGAACUGGGACACGGUCCAGACUCCUACGAGAGGCAGCAGUGGGGAAUAUUGCACAAUGGGCGAAAGCCUGGUGCAGCCAUGCCGCGUGUAUGAAGAAGGCCUUCGGGUUGUAAAGUCCUUUCAGCGGGGAGGCGUUACCCGCAGAAGAAGCACCGGCUAACUCCGUGCCAGCAGCCGCGGUAAUAC